CGUGACUCGAGUCGUGAGGAGGAAUUUAAGAGUUGUGCCAGAUAUGAAUCACGAUUUACAUUUCUGUUGGUUCUUCAUACUUGUGGUCGCCAAAGAACAUUCACCUGGAUUACUAUGAACUGUCUGCAGUCUUCCUCGCCUUGACAAAUGACUGGACAGACAGAGUGGAAAGCUCUACCUUUGUGGAUCGUUCAUCUCUAUAGCAACAGGAGUCCUCAGUCUUUAGGUCUGCCUUCGACAUCCCCGUGUUUUCCGAUUUCCUUGGCUCUCACAAUCUUUCCAUUUUGCUGCUGAUGCCGGGAGCCGUUCAGCGAGCUGCGCUUCAUGAGUCGAUUGAUGAUGUCACUGCAGGUCUUC
ensembl:processed_transcript